rnacentral:misc_RNA from 1 species
GAAAUGCGAUAAGUAAUGUGAAUUGCAGAAUUCAGUGAAUCAUCGAAUCUUUGAACGCACAUUGCGCCCGCCAGUAUUCUGGCGGGCAUGCCUGUUCGAGCGUCAUUUCAACCAUCAAGCCCCGGCUUGUGUUGGGGACCUGCGGCUGCCCGCAGGCCCUGAAAAACAGUGGCGGGCUCGCUGUCACACCGAGCGUAGUAGCAUACAUUCUCGCUCAGGGCGUGCUGCGGGUUCCGGCCGUUAAACGACUUUCAUAACCCAAGGUUGACCUCGGAUCAGGUAGGAAGACCCGCUGAACUUAAGC